CUCCUCUGAGCCUCUGGCCGUGGGACCCCCGCAGUCUCCCCCUUCCUCCUCCUUCCUCUCCCUCCCAACACCUUCGGACCUCCUCCUCCCCUCCACCCCGGCUGCCGGGGCCCCGCACCCGGACUAAGAAGGAAGAGCUACAGUGACCCCACAGUGGGAGUCUGGAGGAGUAGACACCUGAUCUUAUGCAUUUCUCUGACAUCCACCCCUGCUGAAGACUCCAGAAGGUUGUACUUCAUGCAGAGUAGUAGAAGAAAAGAGGACAGUACCUCAUCGCUAAAAGCAUCCUGUAAGUGGAAAAGCUAUUAAUACUCUCAUGAGUUCUUGUAGUUGAAGUUUUAAAACAGAAGAAU
rnacentral:lncRNA from 1 species